GCUGAUGAGGACGCUGCUGAUUCCGCAACACACGGGCGAAGCGGGCGAAGGGUGCUGAGCUGCAACUUACCCACAUGUUUAAAUCAACCAUUCGGACUCCGUAUUCCGGGAUUCGCUGUUUUAAAUGAAAGUGACAGCAUUGACAACAUCCAGCUGAGACGGCGGCGUUGAUAUGAUUUGUUUGUUCAAGGUCUCACGAGGAAGCUAGCGAAGCAAAGCCGGCGAAUUCAAGCGGAGCCGAAGCAGCAGAAGCAUAGUUAGCUAGCUUUAGCCAGUUAGCCGCUCGCUAGCCCGGGAGCCGCUAAUCUGUCCGCUCUCGCCGUACACCUGUGCGUCACGCCGUCCUGUGUUGGAACUACUUAAGCUCGUAACACUCAUUACUGUCGGUUUCCAUUCAAAUAUAUAUCUUUUUAAUUUAAAUUUCAAUCGCGUUGACAACGAAGGAGGGAGGGAAAAAUCACCUUGGUAGGGUUGAGAUUGGGACCAGCCAACUAAGCGGUGUCCUCAAGUGGCCAUUCACCAUGGACAACGCACACACAAAGACGGUGGAAGAAGUUUACAGCUUUUUUAAUGUGAACGAAAGCACGGGUCUGAGUUUAGAAGAAGUGAAGAAACAACGGGAACGAUACGGGCCAAACGAACUGCCAGCUGAGGAGGGUAAAUCGCUUUGGGCACUAGUGAUUGAACAGUUUGAAGAUUUGCUUGUGAGAAUCCUCCUACUUGCUGCCUGCAUAUCCUUUGUGCUGGCUUGGUUUGAAGAGGGAGAAGAAACCGUUACAGCCUUUGUGGAGCCUUUUGUUAUCCUUCUAAUUCUCAUAGCAAAUGCCAUUGUAGGAGUCUGGCAGGAACGAAAUGCAGAAAAUGCCAUCGAGGCCCUCAAGGAGUAUGAGCCAGAGAUGGGGAAGGUGUACCGCCAGGAUAGGAAGAGUGUCCAGAGAAUCAAGGCAAGGGACAUUGUGCCUGGGGACAUUGUGGAGGUGGCAGUUGGUGAUAAAGUGCCUGCAGACAUCAGGCUGACUUCUAUCAAGUCAACCACACUGAGGGUAGACCAAUCAAUUCUUACAGGAGAGUCUGUGUCUGUGAUCAAACACACAGACCCAGUGCCUGACCCGCGUGCUGUCAACCAGGACAAGAAGAACAUGCUCUUUUCUGGUACCAACAUUGCAGCUGGUAAGGCUGUCGGUGUGGUGGUGGCCACAGGUGGCAACACAGAGAUUGGCAAAAUCCGAGAUGAGAUGGCUACAACAGAACAGGAGCGUACGCCACUGCAGCAGAAGCUUGAUGAGUUUGGGCAGCAGCUAUCCAAGGUUAUUACACUGAUCUGCAUUGCUGUGUGGAUCAUCAAUAUUGGGCAUUUCAACGAUCCUGUUCAUGGAGGUUCCUGGAUCCGAGGUGCUGUCUAUUACUUCAAGAUUGCUGUGGCUCUAGCAGUAGCUGCAAUUCCUGAGGGUCUGCCCGCUGUCAUCACUACCUGUCUGGCUUUAGGAACACGGCGCAUGGCCAAGAAGAAUGCCAUUGUCCGCAGUUUGCCCUCUGUGGAGACCCUUGGCUGUACAUCUGUCAUCUGCUCUGACAAGACCGGCACACUUACAACCAAUCAGAUGUCUGUGUGCAGGAUGUUUAUCAUUGAUCGGGCAGAAGCUGAUCACUGUUCAUUAAAGGAAUUCACAGUUAGUGGCUCCACAUAUGCCCCAAAUGGACAAGUGUUCCAUGAUGGAAAACCAGUCAAAUGUUCCCAGUAUGAUGCUUUGGUGGAGCUGGCCUCUAUUUGUGCUCUCUGUAAUGAUUCCUCACUGGAUUACAAUGAGGCUAAAGGUGUGUACGAGAAAGUGGGUGAGGCCACAGAGACGGCUCUCACAUGCCUGGUGGAGAAGAUGAAUGUGUUUGAUACAGAUCUUAAAGGCCUGUCCAAGGUUGAACGAGCCAACGCCUGCAAUUCUGUGAUCAAGCAGUUGAUGAAGAAAGAGUUUACCUUGGAAUUUUCCAGAGAUAGGAAAUCUAUGUCUGUGUACUGUACUCCUAACAAAGCACGCUCCUCAGUUGGAAAGAUGUUUGUGAAGGGUGCUCCUGAGGGAGUGAUUGACAGGUGCACACACAUUCGUGUAGGCAGUAACAAGGUACCAAUGAGUCCUGGAAUCAAGGAAAAGCUAAUGUCUGUAAUCAGAGAAUAUGGAACAGGCAGGGACACCCUGCGCUGUCUGGCUCUGGCCACCCGAGAUAACCCCCUGAACAAGGAUGAACUGGUGUUAGAUGACUCCUCUCGCUUUAUUCAGUAUGAGACUGAUCUGACUUUUGUGGGAUGUGUGGGCAUGCUGGAUCCUCCCAGGGCAGAGGUGGCGGCGUCUGUUAGGCUCUGCCGUCUCGCAGGCAUCCGAGUAAUUAUGAUCACUGGAGACAACAAGGGGACAGCUGUUGCGAUCUGCAGACGCAUUGGUAUUUUUGGAGAAGACGACGAUGUUUCCAGCAUGGCUUUCACUGGCCGAGAGUUUGAUGAUCUGUCACCUGCACAGCAGAGGGACGCUGUGGUCAAGGCUCGCUGCUUUGCACGUGUUGAGCCUUCUCAUAAAUCCAAGAUUGUUGAGUAUUUGCAGUCCUAUGAUGAGAUCACAGCUAUGACUGGUGAUGGCGUAAAUGACGCCCCCGCUCUUAAGAAGGCUGAGAUUGGCAUCGCCAUGGGCUCAGGCACAGCUGUAGCCAAGACCGCCUCUGAGAUGGUUCUGGCUGAUGACAACUUUGCCACCAUUGUUGCUGCAGUUGAGGAAGGAAGAGCCAUUUAUAACAACAUGAAGCAGUUCAUCAGAUACCUCAUCUCUUCAAAUGUGGGCGAGGUUGUUUGCAUCUUUCUAACUGCAGCUGUGGGGUUCCCCGAAGCUCUCAUUCCCGUUCAGCUGCUCUGGGUCAACCUGGUGACUGACGGUUUGCCUGCCACAGCUCUAGGCUUCAACCCACCAGACUUGGACAUCAUGAAUAAGCCUCCGCGCAAUGCUCGUGAGCCCCUCAUCUCUGGAUGGCUUUUCUUCAGAUACCUCGCCAUUGGAUGUUAUGUUGGUGCUGCAACUGUUGGUGCUGCUGCCUGGUGGUUUGUUGCUGCUGAGGAUGGACCAAGGAUCACCUUUUACCAACUGAGCCAUUUUUUGCAGUGUGCUCCAGAAAAUCCAGACUACCAGAAUAUAGACUGUAAGGUGUUUGAGUCUCCUUACCCGAUGACCAUGGCCCUGUCUGUGCUGGUCACAAUUGAGAUGUGCAAUGCCCUUAACAGUGUGUCAGAGAACCAGUCCCUGCUGCGGAUGCCUCCCUGGGAGAACGUGUGGCUGCUGGGAGCCAUCUGCCUCUCCAUGUCCCUUCACUUCCUCAUCCUCUAUGUGGAACCUCUUCCAAUCAUCUUCCAGAUCACACCUCUGAAUCUGACCCAGUGGCUAAUGGUGCUCAAGAUCUCAUUACCUGUCAUUCUAUUGGACGAACUGCUCAAGUUUGCUGCCAGGAACUACCUGGAGCCGGGUAAAGACCUGGAGAAACCUGCCAGCUCCAAAGGCUGCUCCCUGUCUGCAUGUAUGGAGGGCAUCUCCUGGCCCUUCGUGGCCAUUUCCCUCCCCUUGGUCCUCUGGAUCUACAGCUGCGACACUAACAUGGCCGACAUGUUCUGGUCCUGACUGACUUGAGCACAACCUCGACUUUUCCAUUCCCCACCCACUGCCAUCACUUCCCUCUUUCCUCUCCUAUUCUCUCUCUGCCUUCCGUAAUGUGCGUAGCUAGCGUGUGUGUAUGUGUGUGCAUUUGUAGAGAUUGUGUGUGUGCCUCUGCGUGCCGCCAUGUGCGUAAGAGAAGGACCAACUUUGACACAACAAAUAAUAUAAAAUGUUAACACUGAGAAGUUGCCUGUUUUGAGCUGGUAUAGGGUUUAUGAAUGGGUGAGGCUUUAAAUGUGAGUGUUAGAACACCAUCACUCCCAUAGCUGUGGACUUAUGUUGCUGGUGUAAAAGAAAAUAUACUGUUGCCAGUUGUUUUUGUUUUUUGUUUUUUUUUUUUUUUUUUUUUUUUUUGUUUGGUUUUUUCCAUUUCAAUAUUGCCUUUAUGGUUUAUAUAUUUUUAAUUAUGUUGGGAAUAACAUGUCCUGUGCCACUACAGUAACAUCAGCAAAUUUGUUAUGUUCAGCUUCCCUCUUGAUGAAAAGGAUAAUUAGGAUAUCAGAAAUAAUUUGAUCUGUACAGAGAUUGAACACUAUUUUAUGCAACUUUUUUUAUGGCUUUGUAAAUUGUUUGACCAGCGUGGCUUAGACAUACCGCCUUCAUUUAUUUUCUAAUGUUUACCAUUGUGUCUUCAGUAUAAACUCAGAGAGGACGCGCUCCAUGUGGCAGACAAGGAUGGGGGGGAAGGUUUGGGACUCAGAGUGAAACAUUUGAAUGCUCAGCUUAAAAAAAAAAAAUCAAAAACAAAAAAUCCUUGAUAAACAAAAGCCGCAUGUCCUGUGACUAAGCAUGAACUGUAUGUGAUUUCUCAUUCUAAUUUAAUUGUGUAUGUCCCCCGUGUUAGAGCGUAAAUUAACUCCAUGGAUGUUUUGUUUUGUUUUUUUACUAUAAUGAUUGAAAAUAAGUCAGUUUUUCUGCACUGGGCAGAGCACAGCUACCUCAAUAUAAGAUUUUCUUUUUUUCUUGCUCAUCUCGAGAUGCUUUUCCUCAACAGUCUAGCUAAAGCGUAACAUCUGAGGUGUGCCCCUAUUCGCUUGUGCAGAAAACAACGAACAAAAUCUUUCCUCCCUCUAACAUUUUUAAGGAUAUAUUUUGUAUUGAUUUGUGACAUUAACUUUAUUUGUGUGUGUGCUUCUGAGACAGAACUGGGUGGGGAUGCUGUAAGUUGACUACCAUCUCCAUGGCGUUUGAUUCAAAGGAACCGUUAUAAUUAAAAUUUUAAGAAAAAAUACUAAUACAGCAACUAUUCCAAUGAAUGGACUUGGAUUGCAAAUAAAAACCGAAAUGUUUUUUUUUUUUUUUUUUACUUUAAGAAAAAAAAUACACUCAUGAAACCCUUUGAAUCAAGUGUUUUCUGUCUUUAUUUAAUACAAUAUAGACCCAUGAUAUUCAAUAUUAUUCAUAUUCAUUGUUUUUGUAUGUGCAUAUAAUACUUGAAUACAAAUCAUUUCAGACAUAAUGAAUGCUUCAGUUUUCUUGGCACAACAUAGCAGGCAUGAGCUAGUCAUGGCACAGAGAACCUAAUCUUGUGUGUGUUUGACUCGUAGAGACUAUUAUUUAGGAGACUUAGUUUAUAUUUGGUAUACUAUACUUUGCAGUAGUGUGUACUUGUUGGAUCAGAGCCUAUUCAGUCAGCUACACUUAAGCAUUCCCCAUGUGAGAGAAGCCCAUCAUAAGCAUGUGUUUUGAAGCCUGGGUUUGUUUGCACUGUGUGUUUGUGUUCCACUUAACAGCUGUGUGCUCUUUUCCCUCAAUGCCUACCACUGGCCCCCCUGUCACUAGAGUUGGCUCUCAUAAACAGUUCAUAUGAGUGGCCUCUAAAGUUGCAGCCAUCCUACCGUCCAGGAGUGUGCGCUCACUCUGUCUUCACACACACCUCAGACACCAUGAUGACCAGCAGUAUGUACCCUUGUGCAGACACAAAAAAAAAAAAAAAA